AUCCCAUAAUGUGGGCACUUCCUUAACAAUUCCUUAAACCUCUCUCACGUAUCAUAUAAAUUCUCUAACUCCAAUUGGUAGAAGGAAGAGAUAUCACUCCUCAUCUU